AAUAAAAUAAAUUAUUUUUAUUUAAUUUUAAGUAAAUAGGUUUAAGUUUUAUUAAUUAUUAAGAAAAAAUUUUUUUAUGAUAGUUUAUUAGUAAAGUGAUUGAAAUUUGAAAUAGUUUAAAGUUUAAUAUUUUAAAAAAGAAAAAUUAUUUUUUUGUACCUUGUGUAUCAGGGUUUAUUUAAUAUAAAUUUUAUAUUAAAAUUUUCUCGAAUUUAAAAGAGUUAAUAAAUUAUAUAUUUUAUUGUAAAAUAAAUAUUUUUAAUAAUUUAUUAGUAAUGAAACGUUAUUCGUUUUUAAAUAUAUCUAGUUUUUUUAGAAAUAAAUUUAAUUUAAUUAUUAAUAAAAAUAAUUUUUAAUUUAAAAUUUAAUUUUGUUAAUAUUAUAUAUUAUAAGGGAUAAGCUUUAUAAUAGAUUUAUAUAAAUUAUUUAUUUUUAAAUAUAUGUAGAAUUAAAAAUUUUUAUCUUUAUUAGUAUGUUAUAAUUAAUUUUUUUAUUAAUAAUAUUUAUAUUAAUUUUAUAUUUUUUAUAAAAAAUUUUUAUUUAAUUUUUAAAUAAAAUUAAUAAUGAUAAAAUUAGUAUAAUUUAUUGUAUAUUUAAAUAUAAUUAUAAAUAUAUUUUAAGGAAUUCGGCAAAUAUAAUUUUCGCCUGUUUAUUAAAAACAUGUCCUUUUGAUAAUAAUAUAAGGUCUAACCUGCCCACUGAAAUUUUAAAGGGCCGCAGUAUUUUAACUGUGCAAAGGUAGCAUAAUAAUUAGUUUCUUAAUUAGAAGCUUGUAUGAAUGGUUGAACGAGAAAUUUACUGUCUCAAUUUAUAAAUUAAAAUUUUAUUUUUAAGUUAAAAAGCUUAAAUAAAUUUAAAAGACGAGAAGACCCUAUAGAGUUUUAUAUUUAUUAAUAUUUAAAAAUUAGAAUUUUAUUUUUAUUUAUAAUUAUUUUAUUGGGGUGAUAUAUAAAUUUAAUAAACUUUAUAUUUUUAAUAACAUUAAUUAAUGAUAAAUUGAUCCAUUAUAAUGAUUAAAAGAAAAAAUUACCUUAGGGAUAACAGCGUAAUUUUUUUUUAGAGUUCUAAUCGAAAAAAAAGAUUGCGACCUCGAUGUUGGAUUAAAAUUAAUUUUUGGUGUAGAAGCUAAAAUAUUAGGUCUGUUCGACCUUUAAAAUUUUACAUGAUCUGAGUUUAAACCGGCGUGAGCCAGGUUGGUUUCUAUCUUUAAAUAAAAUAAAUAUUUUAGUACGAAAGGACCAAGUAUUUUUAAAAUUUAAUUUUGUUGAAUAUUAUUAA
rnacentral:rRNA from 1 species